rnacentral:rRNA from 1 species
GUCGUGGUGUGACGUUCUCCUGAGUAGCACGGGGCCCGUGAAAUCUCGUGUGAAUCUGCCAGGACCACCUGGUAAGCCUGAAUACUUCCUGAUGACCGAUAGCGGAUCAGUACCGUGAGGGAAUGGUGAAAAGUACCCCGGGAGGGGAGUGAAAUAGUACCUGAAACCGUGUGCUUACAAGCCGUUGGAGCCUUUAGGGGUGACAGCGUGCCUUUUGAAGAAUGAGCCUGCGAGUUAGUGUUACGUCGCGAGGUUAACCCGUGUGGGGUAGUCGUAGCGAAAGCGAGUCUGAAUAGGGCGUUGUGAGUGGCGUGAUCUAGACCCGAAGCGGGGUGAUCUACCCAUGGCCAGGUUGAAGCGCGUGUAAGAGCGCGUGGAGGACCGAACCCACUUCAGUUGAAAAUGGAGGGGAUGAGCUGUGGGUAGGGGUGAAAGGCCAAUCAAACUCCGUGAUAGCUGGUUCUCCCCGAAAUGCAUUUAGGUGCAGCGUCGCGUGUUUCUUGCCGGAGGUAGAGCUACUGGAUGGACGAUGGGCCCUACAAGGUUACUGACUUCAGCCAAACUCCGAAUGCCGGGACGGGAGAGCGUGGCAGUGAGACUGUGGGGGAUAAGCUUCCUAGUCGAGAGGGAAACAGCCCAGACCCCCGGGGAAGGCCCCUCAGCGUGUGCUAAGUGGGA